CAGUAGCCGCGGGAAUACGGAGGGAGCUAGCGUUGUUCGGAAUUACUGGGCGUAAAGCGCACGUAGGCGGCGAUUUAAGUCAGGGGUGAAAGCCCAGUGCUCAACACUGGAACUGCCCUUGAGACUGGAUUGCUUGAAUCCGGGAGAGGUGUGUGGAAUUCCGAGUGUAGAGGUGAAAUUCGUAGAUAUUCGGAAGAACACCAGUGGCGAAGGCGGCUCACUGGACCGGCAUUGACGCUGAGGUGCGAAAGCGUGGGGAGCAAACAGGAUUAGAUACCCGAGUAGUCCCUGUCUCUUAUAC
rnacentral:rRNA from 1 species